rnacentral:miRNA from 8 species
AAGCAGCACAUAAAUACUGGAGG